rnacentral:rRNA from 1 species
UAGUGGAGUAAAGUCGUACCAGCUUUCCGUAGGUGACCUGCGGAGGGAUCAUAU